AGCUCUAGUCACAAAGACUCUUUUCAGCCGCCCUAGUGCGGGAAGAAUAAAGGGCAGUGAACCGCGCCCCCCUCUCCCAGAGGAACGUCACGGCCCCCUCCCUCAGCUCGGCCAACUCUGUCUGCCCAGCCUCAGCCAGGGAUCUCCAAGCGCCCCGAACCCGCCCCUCUUUCUACUCCAGGCUGCUGCCCAGAAAGAAAGGCCUGCUGCACCUGGGAGAGAGGGGUGUGCUGCCCGACGGCCCUGGAAAGAGGGCCCUGAUCUGGGCUCGAAGCUGCCGACCUCCUACUGGUCAAAAGGGGCUCCUUAAUCCAAAGACAUUGAGUGCCCUGGAUUCCCAUUUCAACUUUGUGAGCUCCUCACUUCCUGGAGCCUACAUGGAAAGGAGGCACCCAGAUUCCAGAGAUGGAGGCAUGGUGGACCCUGCCAAACUGGGGCUUAAGGCACCAUGGAGACGCGGUCUGGAAAAAUAAGGGAAGGAAGGAUUCAGAGGCUGAUACUGCAGACAGAAGAGUCAGUCCCUGCCCUGUGCCCACAGACAGAGAUGGCGGCCAUGGUCACGGCCAACCCUAUCUACCCUACACAUCUUCUCCUCCUCUCUUCUUACUUCGCACCAAAUACUCAACCCAGAAGGACUGUUGGAGGGGGAGCCUUGGCCUAGCACGAAGUAACUCUCCUGGGCUUCUCCUGUUCCCAAGGAUCCUAUCGGCCCACCAAAAGCCAAGAAAACGCAAGAGAACUCACCUAGUGUACGAGAGAAAAUAGGCAGGGCUGAGCUCAGCACUAGGAGACAGACACAGUUCCCAAUGAUCUAAGGAUAAGAAAGGGAAAGAAGGAAAGACAGAAAGAACAGUCCUUUGAGCAGCUGCCAAGAGCCUACAUUGACCCCAAUAAAAUUCUGGUCCCUCUUCCCCCAACACCUGGGUAAAGAACAUUAUAAGAUGUAAAAUGAAUCAUUAUAUUAAAUUUAAAAGGUUUUGUACUAGCAAAAGCAAGGCAACCAAGAUUCAGAAGAGAAGCCACAAACCGGGAAAAAUGUUUUAACAAAUUUCUUUGAUAAAGGUCAUUUCUCAAAAAUAUGAAGAUAUAAUUUAACAUAUAACAUAUGACAUAGAAUAUAUCUAUUAAUAAUAUAAAUAUAUGUCAAAUUUAUAAGAUCCCCAAUUGAUAAAUGGUCAAAGGAGAGGAACAGGCAGUUUCCAUAUUAAGAAAUCAAAGCUAUCAACUAAUAUAAAAAAAAAUGUUCUACACCCUAAUGUAAAUAUUAAUAAUAUGGAAAUAGGUCUUGAUCAAUAACAUGUAAAACCCAGUGGAAUUGUGUGUCAGUUAUGGGAGGGGGCUGGGAGGAGGGGAGGGAAAGAACACGAAUCUUAUACCAUGGAAAAAUAUUCUAAAUUAACAAAUUAAAUAAAAAUCC